GACGAACGCUGGCGGCGUGCCUAAUACAUGCAAGUCGAACGAACUCUGGUAUUGAUUGGUGCUUGCAUCAUGAUUUACAUUUGAGUGAGUGGCGAACUGGUGAGUAACACGUGGGAAACCUGCCCAGAAGCGGGGGAUAACACCUGGAAACAGAUGCUAAUACCGCAUAACAACUUGGACCGCAUGGUCCGAGCUUGAAAGAUGGCUUCGGCUAUCACUUUUGGAUGGUCCCGCGGCGUAUUAGCUAGAUGGUGGGGUAAUGGCUCACCAUGGCAAUGAUACGUAGCCGACCUGAGAGGGUAAUCGGCCACAUUGGGACUGAGACACGGCCCAAACUCCUACGGGAGGCAGCAGUAGGGAAUCUUCCACAAUGGACGAAAGUCUGAUGGAGCAACGCCGCGUGAGUGAAGAAGGGUUUCGGCUCGUAAAACUCUGUUGUUAAAGAAGAACAUAUCUGAGAGUAACUGUUCAGGUAUUGACGGUAUUUAACCAGAAAGCCACGGCUAACUACGUGCCAGCAGCCGCGGUAAUACGUAGGUGGCAAGCGUUGUCCGGAUUUAUUGGGCGUAAAGCGAGCGCAGGCGGUUUUUUAAGUCUGAUGUGAAAGCCUUCGGCUCAACCGAAGAAGUGCAUCGGAAACUGGGAAACUUGAGUGCAGAAGAGGACAGUGGAACUCCAUGUGUAGCGGUGAAAUGCGUAGAUAUAUGGAAGAACACCAGUGGCGAAGGCGGCUGUCUGGUCUGUAACUGACGCUGAGGCUCGAAAGUAUGGGUAGCAAACAGGAUUAGAUACCCUGGUAGUCCAUACCGUAAACGAUGAAUGCUAAGUGUUGGAGGGUUUCCGCCCUUCAGUGCUGCAGCUAACGCAUUAAGCAUUCCGCCUGGGGAGUACGGCCGCAAGGCUGAAACUCAAAGGAAUUGACGGGGGCCCGCACAAGCGGUGGAGCAUGUGGUUUAAUUCGAAGCUACGCGAAGAACCUUACCAGGUCUUGACAUACUAUGCAAAUCUAAGAGAUUAGACGUUCCCUUCGGGGACAUGGAUACAGGUGGUGCAUGGUUGUCGUCAGCUCGUGUCGUGAGAUGUUGGGUUAAGUCCCGCAACGAGCGCAACCCUUAUUAUCAGUUGCCAGCAUUAAGUUGGGCACUCUGGUGAGACUGCCGGUGACAAACCGGAGGAAGGUGGGGAUGACGUCAAAUCAUCAUGCCCCUUAUGACCUGGGCUACACACGUGCUACAAUGGAUGGUACAACGAGUUGCGAACUCGCGAGAGUAAGCUAAUCUCUUAAAGCCAUUCUCAGUUCGGAUUGUAGGCUGCAACUCGCCUACAUGAAGUCGGAAUCGCUAGUAAUCGCGGAUCAGCAUGCCACGGUGAAUACGUUCCCGGGCCUUGUACACACCGCCCGUCACACCAUGAGAGUUUGUAACACCCAAAGUCGGUGGGGUAACCUUUUAGGAACCAGCCGCCUAAGGUGGGACAGAUGAUUAGGGUGGU
rnacentral:rRNA from 1 species